UACGUAGGUGGCAAGCGUUGUCCGGAUUUACUGGGUGUAAAGGGUGCGCAGGCGGAUCUGUGAGUCAGAGGUGAAAUCUCACAGCUUAACUGUGAAACUGCCUUUGAUACUGCAGAUCUUGAGUUCGGGAGAGGUUGAUGGAAUUCCAGGUGUAGCGGUGAAAUGCGUAGAUAUCUGGAAGAACACCAGUGGCGAAGGCGGUCAACUGGCCCGUAACUGACGCUCAGGCACGAAAGCGUGGGUAGCAAACAGG
rnacentral:rRNA from 1 species